UUGAAUUACUUUUAAUGCUUUUAUCUCUAAAUCUUUGUUGCUGUAUUGAAAGUGCCUAGAAUAGAGCCUGGACUAAAAGUGCUCAAAAACAUGUGUUGAAUAAAUGAAUCGAUUUAUGAUUUAUUUGGAUGCAAUCACUGAGACAUCACCUUCCUAUUACUGCCAAAAGCCAAGAUCAUGAAGGUGAUUUGGACAAAGGCCCAGUGUAAUCAUGGCUAUGUCAGGUUCACUGUGUGGUACUCUCUUCCCAUCUUCCCUAAGGAUACCAUCGAAACAGUUUUAUUUCCGGCAAUGGAAAAAUGAGAUCAGCUCUGACUGCAAAAUUGCAAGCAUUACAUACUAUGGCAAGAAUCAGUACAAAUAAAAAACAAGUCUUUGGAAAAAAGGUAAAGAAAGAGAAUCCUUAAAACUUAUGUAAUAUGCCCAAAGUUGCAUAGCUGACCUGUUGAGGCAAAAGAGAGGAGAGAAAUGAUUGAAGAACAAGGUAAUAGCCAAAAAAGUUGGAUUCUUCUUAGGAUAAUGGCUCAAGGAGCUCCACAAUCAGGCAACAGAAAUAAAGAGCAUACUAAUUGGCAAGAAACCUAACUUUCACUAUGUGCAGAUGACACGAUCUUCUAUGUAGAAAACCCAAAAGGCUCCACCAAAAAAUUGUUAGAAUACAUGAAUUCACCAAAGUCCCAGGAUAUAAAAUCAAAGUGCAGAAAUCUGUUGCAUUUCUAUGCACCAAUAAUGAAGCAGCAGAAAAAGAAAUCAAGGAAUCAAUUCCAUUUGAAACUGUACCAAAAACGACAUAACAGCUGGCAACAA